GAGUUCAAGUACCUCGGGGUCUUGUUCGCGAGUGAGGGUACUAUGGAGCGUGAGAUUGGCCGGAGAAUCGGAGCAGCGGGGGCGGUAUUACGUUCGCUUUACCGCACCGUUGUUACGAAAAGAGAGCUGAGCCGCAAGGCAAAGCUCUCGAUCUACCGGUCGAUCUUCGUUCCUAUCCUCACCUAUUGUAACUGCCUCUGUGUCAGUCAGCGCAGUAUUUCUGAGUUAUUUAUUUUGGUAGGAACCAAAGUUCUCUAAGGCGGAACCUUUGUUUUUGUAUCGCCCGUUUCCGUCAGGACAUACUUUAGCGUAACACUCAUCAAAAAAGUCCGCUGAUUUAGUACAUGUUUUUCAGUGCUGAUGCAUCUGCAAAAUAGCUCUUAGCAUCAAGAUAAACAAUCCUACAGAGUAAUGCCAAGCUACACAACUUUCCUCAUGCAAUGCAGCUACUAAGUUUUCACGGUCUGGAUGAACCAAAUAAAUCCUGCCAGUAAACAAAAAGGAAACUCGUUGCUGUCGUUUGUACUGAGGGAAUUAUAGUGAAAACUUAGCUGCUCACGAAGACAGCACCAAAGAGCAGUGAAUGACAACAGUAAGGCAAGUAAGAUGUCCCGAAAUGGCGAAGAGCACACAAUUGCAGAUGUACAUUUCCCAGACAUGGAGUCACACGCACCUGACAAGACAGAGUGUGUGCACGAGCACAGCUCAACCGUGCAGCCACAAGCGACUGAAGGCAUCAUAGUGGACAACCCCGCUUCCUCAGAAGAGCCACCAUUAGGCCAAAGAGUCCGCAGAAUGACGGAAAAGGGUCAAGAACAGCAUGAUGAGCAAGUAAUAAAGGUUGCACAUCGGUUCAGUGUGUGCUAUGAGAAGUGGAAGGAUGCCACUAAAGAAGCCAACCAAGCGCUGAGUGGAAAGUGCUCAGACGACCUGCUAGAUGGACAAAUUACUAAAGUACGCAAUACCUCUAGGAGUCUAAAUGACGUUUAUGACGAUUGGAAACGCCUUGAGGUUCCUGACCUUAACACACGUCGCAAAAUCGACACCUGUGAAACAGUAACAAAGAAGAUGGUUAAGGAUGCAAUGGACCUUAUAGAUGCAAGGGAGGAAGCUACAGCCCAUAGGCAUACUACAAGUCAAAGACAUGAAGAACAUCGAGUCAUUGAAGAGGUAAUGUCUGUAGCCUCAGGAAGGACAGGCACUAGCUCUCGCCACACUAAGUGCUCCUCUGCAAGCAGGAAGACUGCAGCUGCUGAGGUUGCUGCCAACAAAGCCACCUUAGAAGUACAGCUGGAGCAAGAGCAUUAUAUUAAAGAGCUUCAGAGACUGGAAGUUGAAGCCGCUCAGCUAAAAGCCAAACAAGAGGCUGAAAAUGCAGAGAGACAAAGAGUGCUAGAAGCC
ensembl:lncRNA